rnacentral:rRNA from 1 species
AUGCCUCCUAUUUAUGAUGAUUAUAUUGAUGAAAGUGGAUUUGGAGAGGUCAUGACUUUAUUUUGUGAUGAAUCCACUAUUCCGGAAGAGGUUCCAAUUGAUUAUGAGAACAAAGUUGCUAUCUAUGAUGAUUAUUGUGAUGACUUGUAUGCUAUAAAGAAUAAUGAUAACCAUGAAAAUUGUCAUCAUGAUUUUAGUUUUCAAUUGGAUUAUGCCUCACAUGAUAAUUAUUUCGUUGAGUUUGCUCCCACUACUAUUGAUGAGAAGAAAUUUGCUUAUGUGGAGAGUAAUAAAACCUAUAUGCUUGUAGAUCAUGAAAAGAAUGCUUUAGGUGCUGGUUAUAUUGUUAAAUUCAUUCAUGAUGCUACUGAAAAUUAUUAUGAGGCAGGAACAUAUGCUUGUAGGAAUUGCAAUAAUAUCAAGUUUCCUCUCUAUGUGCUUAAAAUCUUGAAGUUAUGCUUGUUUUACCUUCCUAUGCAAGUUGAUUCUUGUUCCCACAAGUUGUUUGCUCAAAAAAUCCCUAUGCAUAGGAAUAGGGUUAGACUUAAAUGUGCUAGUUAUAUUCUUCAUGAUUCUCUCUUUAUGUUACAAUUCUUAUCUUUUAUGUGA